rnacentral:tRNA from 1 species
AGCAGCGUGGCUCAGUGGAAAGAGCCCGGGCUUGGGAGUCAGAGGUCACGGGUUCGACUCCCGGCUCUGCCG